ACUUCUGCAUCAAAAGUUAAUUUUAUGUCAUAAACACAACUUUAUUGCAAAUACACUACAACCAGACAUAGUAGUAAGGAAAAUAAGCCAAUUUCAGUCCUAGAAUUAACUGCUUGUUUAGAAUAACCCAUAAAAACAUCUCUGUGAUACAGAGAGUAGAAUUCUCAUGAAUUAGUAGAAAGUGAUAACUGCCAGAUUUAACAACCAAUUUUAACAGCUCCAACUUUGCCUCUUUUCAUAAUAGCCCAUACUAUCUUCAGACUUGUUACUGACUUAAAGGACUUGAUUUACUUUACUUUAAAACUAGCUAUUGUAUUGGACAGUUUUGAGAGCAGAGUCCAAAAUAGGACAACUGACAAAAUUCUGAUUUAGAUGGGGAAGUAAAGUAUUGCAGUUAUCAGUCAUGCAGCAUGGGAGACACCUACAUCCUAAGGGUAUUCCCCUUUUCAGCAGGGAAUUCUUCUGACAUACUGUUUUGUUUGAGGGAUAAGCAGCUUUUUAUUUCCACCUUUCUUGUGCAUUUUUGCAAUGCAGAAACUAGUCAGAAAAGCACUGUACUCCCCUUAGGUCACUCAAACCACGUCCAGCUUGCAUUACUACUGCACUACCAGUACUCUUUAUGAUACUUUCUAUCAAGUGUAAACAAAUCUUAAAUCUGACAGAAAGGAUAUUCAUCGACAUUUUGCAACUUAGUGGUCUGCCAGUGGCUUAGUUAAAAACAGCAGUGAAGUAGUGCUCAAUUCUCUCCUUGUUAGGUGUGAAAAAAAUAGGAAAAAAACAAAAACAAAUAUCUAAAAUCUGCACCCACACCAAAUUCUUACUGUUGCAUCUGAGUUGAACUGAAACAAAAGUAUCCCUACAGAUUAAGAAUUUAGUCACACAGCAGAUGAGACUCUCCUGAUUCUUGGUGAUGAAAAUCUAGAAAUACCUAAUUUGUUAAAAUAUUUGAUACUUCUGUCUCAAAUUAAGGAAGUAAAAUCUUAGUACUGUAAAAGUACCAAGAACUUUGGCUGCAAUAUAGCUUUAUAUUGAGCCAAACAGAGCUUCACUAAUUGUUAUGAAUGAGUAAGUUAGUUUUGCUGUAUGUCAAUAUACCUGAUUCAUGCCUACUGUGUCUCUAGUAUCAAAAGGAGAAAUAUGACCAAAUAAUGAAGAUCAUGGUUUAAGAAAGAUGUAGACAAAGCUCUCUGCCCUAAAAAUAAGGCCUUAAUAGAAGAACUUGGUGGAAAUUCACAAAGCCUUUUGUCAUAUUGUAAUAAAGAAAUUGGAAAUGAUAAAUUAUGCAAAUCCAGCUCCUCCCAUAAGUACAAACUUCAAUAGAGAGGAAAAAACCCCAAAUCAAAAAUACAUCAAACAUCAGAAGCUGUAGAACCCAGAACUGGAAAACUGUACUAUUUAAAAUUAUUAUUUUAAAUUUAAUCAUACAGUAAGUUAAGCAUUAUUUCAUAUAAACAAAUGUGGAACUUGACAAAUAAAAUUCAGACUGUGGCUCUGAAAUUCCAUUUUGUGGCGACAUUCUUUUACUUCCUGCAAUAUCUUUCUACAGGUCAACGAAAGCAAGGACACAAAGCAGACAAAUAGACCAUGCCACAAAAAUUAACAUAGAACAAAAAAACCCAAUAAAUCCCAUGGACAAAACCCUUCAAGAAAUACUCUGUCAGCAACUCACUGUCGCUGGUGUUAAAGAAAUCACCAAGUGUUUCUAAAAUUUGCUGUUAUGCCACAUUUCCUUUUUCUUUCUUUUUAAAAUGACCCCAUGAUACAAUGUGGAUUUCAAGUCACUCAGCAUACCACAGCUCAAAACCCCAUUGCAUUCAACUCCAAAAAAACUGAAGGAGGAGGUAAUGACUAUGAAGGAACCGUAAAAAUCAUAAGGUGACAAAGAUAGUAGUGGAAAAUAUUUGUAACUACAGAUACCAUAGAGAGAAAUCUCAGAGGAAAGUUGUAUCUGCACCUGAUGAAAGCUGGCAUCCACCAGCUUCAAGUUCUACCAUCAACAAGGAAGCAGAGGGAAGAAAACAGGAGAGACCCACUUGCAAGUCCUGGCCCAAACUGCUUCCCUUUCCCAGUACCUGAAACAGGAGCCUCCCUUCCCAUCUUCUUUGUAUUAUCCUUUUUAAAUUCUCUUUUUGUCCCUUCUAUUUCUCUUCUCUCUGUAGUAAAAAGAAUCAGGAAAAGGAGACAAGACAAAUUCUCUAAUACUUUCAGACACAAAGAGGCAAAAGAGCAAUAGAUAAAAAGGGAAGAUUUCAACCUGCAAGUAUAAAAAGUGGCAGGAAGCUGAGGGAAACUAAGCAAUUCUGCUUAAAGCAAGAAACAAUGAAGUCCUGUGACAGCAAAGUGUAAUCCUUCCCUCUGAAGCCUAGAAUUUAUGUGAAAACCCUGGAUUAGUCAUACAAAAGCAAGCUAGGUUAGUUUUACUCUGUGUUCUGUUUAGUAACUAAAAGUAACGGUCUAAAAUAGAACCUACCUUUGCAACACCAUGAACAGCUGUUCCAAGUACAAUUUAAGAAAGCUGUAGGAGCUGAACAAUGUUCCUCUGCAAUUGCCCGGGUCUUAUUUCUAACAUUGAAACACACAUUUUAAUGUAUUAUUUAUUAAGUGAUGUGUUGUAAUUAAAUAAAUUAACUGAAUAUUGGAAUUGAGGAAUGGCAGCCUUGCAACAGCAGCAUAUUAGGUACAAACUAUGAUCUGCAUCAAGACUGGGUAGAAUAAAAGAGAGUCUGUAAUUCAGGAGCAAAGAACAGGUCGAGCAGAGUAAGAUCAAAAGGAAAAUGUAGGAAGAUACAACACUGAAAUCAUGUACCACAAUUUAAGCUAACGUAAAGAAUGUAGCAUAACCAGAGUAAUUAAGUGUCUUGGUAAGGCUCUCCAAUAGCAAGGCAAACGGACUAAGUUUGAUGUGGCAAGCACCGUGCCAAAUACGUACUCAAUUGUGUCAGUAAUGGCAUGGGAACUUAUGGUGAGUGAACUUCCAAGUAGUACAGACAGAAACCAUCAACACUUAUGGAACAUGAUGCAAAGACAGCCAAAACCCACCAAGUUUCAGUCAGUAAUACAAAGUGAUGUCAGUACCAAGACAAAAACCCCAACAAAACAUGAACGUCUGCUAUGUCUCUAAUUAUCCAUGCCAGUCCCUUGUCACUUUCUUUAUUCUCACCAAGGAAGAGUGAAAUAAGAAGCAGAAUCUUGCAGAGCUCUGAAGCUAAAAUUUUUCCCAUCAAAGUCAAGAUAAUGCAUUGUAAAUUAGGUGCUUUGACUUUUAUUCGUGAUAUAGACACCAGGAAAAACUAACAGCACCUCCAAGCUAUAGCUGAGUAGCACCCAGUAACGUUUGAUACAGUAACAUGGGGUGAUUUUAUCCUUGGAUGCUGCAGCACAGCUCAACCUACUGAGUCAUUAAUUUCUCCCCUGGGCAGUAGGACGCACCUCUGCAGGCGUGCAAUAGGUUGCUAAAAAGCAACAUAAAGGAAGCUGCAGACUUCAAUAUUUCAAGUAUUUUCAAGUUUUAACAAGAAUAACUCAAAUCAGUGACCAAUAGAACAGUAUAACCCUCCCAGAGAGGUAUAAGCAGAUUUAUGCUAGAGACUUAAAGCUAUUCCAGACACAUUUUAAAGGAUAAAGUGAGUUUAACUGCUUCAGAUACUUAUAUCUGAAUAAUUAAAAUGCGUUUAAUAUAUGAAAUAUUUAGAAGGGACAACAUAUGUAUCACUGUCUACAAACAUAAAAAAUAGUGUUGGAAGCACGUUCAUUUCUUGAAAGUGAAGAAAUGCUGAGUAGAGCCUCACUUUCUGCUUAUAUUUAUCAGAGCUAUUAGCAAUGAGAUGCCACUCACUGGAAGUUAUCAAAGAUGAAAAAAGGCUCAAAGCAAGGCACAUUUCACAUCGUCUAAGAAAACAGGUUGUAAUUAUUGGCAAUACAAUCCAUGAACUAAUUCUAUUCAUGUCUUUAACCAAACUGCAAGCUGACACACUCUUACUCAUCUUACCAUCUUCAUCAGUAUCUUCAUUUUCUUUUUCUUCUUCUAGUUCAUAAUCUUCAAGGUCCUCUGUCUCUUCUUUUAGUUCUCCCUUUGUAAUUUGCUUAGAUACAUCAGGCUUUUUGAAGU